rnacentral:rRNA from 1 species
GCCUAAAGCGUCCGUAGCCUGUUCUAUAAGUCUCCGGUUAAAUCCACUAGCUCAACUAAUGGGCUGCCGAAAAUACUGUAGAACUAGGGAGUGGGAGAGGUAGACGGUAUUCGGUAGGAAGGGGUAAAAUCCUUUGAUCUAUUGAGGACCACCUGUGGCGAAGGCGGCCUACCAGAACACGUUCGACGGUGAGGGAUGAAAGCUGGGGGAGCAAACCGGAUUAGAUACCCGGGUAGUCCCAGCUGUAAACGAUGCAGACUCGGUGAUGCGCUGGCUUGUGGCCAGUGCAGUGCCGCAGGGAAGCCGUUAAGUUUGCCGCCUGGGAAGUACGUACGCAAGUAUGAAACUUAAAGGAAUUGGCGGGGGAGCACCACAAGGGGUGAAGCCUGCGGUUCAAUUGGAGUCAACGCCAGAAAUCUUACCCGAAGAGACAGCAGAAUGAAGGUCAAGCUGAAGACUUUACCAGACAAGCUGAGAGGUGGUGCAUGGCCGUCGCCAGCUCGUGCCGUGAGAUGUCCUGUUAAGUCAGGUAACGAGCGAGAUCCCUGCCUCUAGUUGCCACCAUUACUCUCAGGAGUAGUGGGGCGAAUUAGCGGGACCGCCGCAGUUAAUGCGGAGGAAGGAAGGGGCCACGGCAGGUCAGUAUGCCCCGAA